CUCUUUAAAUUUAUAAUGACUAUUCUACCCUUAUAUCUAUUUGGUGAACUCUUCUUCUUUUCAGAUCUCACCAUCACGAUUUAUUUUUCUUCUUCUCACAUAUCACCGUCGUCAUUCUCUCCGUCGUAGAAAUCGGAACUGCCGUCGCCGUUUCUUUUCUUCUUUUUCUUAGAUCUCAAUGUCACUGUGAUUCGUCAAUCUCGUCUUUACUGAAAUCGGAUCUCAACGUCGUUGCAAUUCGUCGAUCUCAUUGUUAUUGAAAUCGGGCAACUCGUCAUAGCUAUAAUUGGGAAACGGGCAUGUUUAGACCGAGAAGUUAUCUGGCUGCAAAAGCUCUUCUCUUCUCCAAAGAGGCUGUUCAAUGCUCUUAGGAGACUUGGAGGAAUUAAAUUGUUUGUUUUGUGUUGAUGUGUGGAAUUGACGAAGGUGAGGAUCCAAGAGCUGCAGGCAUGAUAGAACUUAAAGAGGAACUAGAGUUCAUGAUAAUACUCACACCUAUAUUUGUAAAAGUAGGAACAAGUCUUUGUGUGUGUGCAUGUAUUCAUUGAUCUUAAAAUAUUAACUAAUGGAACGUAACUACAUAUGAGAGAGAACAUGCCUUCUAAAUGUUUUACA